rnacentral:rRNA from 1 species
UACAGAGGGGGCAAGCGUUAUUCGGAAUUAUUGGGCGUAAAGGGCGCGUAGGCGGCUGUACAAGUCAAAGGUGAAAUCCCUCGGCUCAACUGAGGAACUGCCUUUGAAACUGUACGGCUUGAGGCCGGGAGGGGGUAGCGGAAUUCCCAGUGUAGCGGUGAAAUGCGUAGAUACUGGGAGGAACACCAGUGGCGAAGGCGGCUACCUGGACCGGUUCUGACGCUGAGGCACGAUAGCGUGGGGAUCAAACAGG